AGACUGUUUCUUCAACAAGUAGACUGCACGUGGCAGGUUCCGGGACACCUAUUUAUAGGAAACAGAUGUUGAGGCUCAGAUCGAUGAGGAUUCAUUUGGUGGGAUUUGGGGGACAUCUAUUUUAUAAAAUAAGAUGUAUUGAACAUGUCUGUGAUGGGCAGUUCAGGAAGCAGAGCUGGAGAGUGAAGCAGGCUGGGGUCAGGUCGAAAGAGCUCUGGAGGCCAAGCUCAGGAAUUUGGGCUCUGAGAGGCUGGAGCUGGUCAAAAUUCAAAACAAUAAUAAAAGGACGUCAUCAGGUUGAAUGGCGUCUCACCUGCUGACUAUACGAGUCCGAUGGGAAAAGCACGCUGCUUCCUCCAUUCCCAGCAGGAUCAAAUACACGGACCGCAUCACCCAGCCUUGUAGCCUUCCGCAUCCUGGGGAGAGGGGUCCCAGCCAGCACUCGCGGUGAGAACAGAGCUCCCUCUCGGGACCCCGUUGAAAGAAUUCAUGUCAAAGUAAAGAUAAAAUGCUUAUAAAGAAGAUUCACAGGCAAAAAAAAAAAAAAANNNNNNNNNNCUCGGGUAGGCACCGUUAAAUGUAAGUGUUAAUGAUAUUUUAUAUUGUUGUUGUGGGCGUGUGUGUGUGUGUGUGUAAAGUUGACUACUGUGGCAGCCAUAGCCAACCUGCUCUGAAAGAAUUCAUGUCAAAGUAAAGAUAAAAUGCUUAUAAAGAAGAUUCACAGGCAAAAAAGGCACCCUAGGGCUCAGAGUAAGUUGUCUUCCCCCCCUCCCUUUUUUUCUGACUAUUGAUAACACAAAUAAAGCUGCAAUAACUAUCUUGGUUGAGACACAGCUUUCUAAAUGCUUGUCGAUAGCUUGCUGGUGUACGACCUUAGUUUUUACUGCGUCCCUGCCUUGACCACCCAUCCUGCCCUCAAGAGAACACAGGGCUCCUCUCUGGGAAGAUCCAGGGUUGGCAGAAAGGAAAGAUUUCCUUCUUGACUUGUGGGGCAGGGAAUGUGGUACAAAAAGAUGAAUGAGGCUGGAUGCAGUGGCUCACGCUUGUAAUCACAGUGCUUUGGGAGGCUGAGGGGGGAGGAUCGCUUGAGGCCAGGAGUUUGAGACCAGCCUGGUCAACACAGCAAGAUUCUGUUUCUUACAUUAAAAACAGCAACAACAACAAAACAACAACAACAACAACAACAACCCAUGAACAAGAUCUAAGGAGUGCAGGGAAGGGAGUGGGUGCCUCUCAGCACACAGUGAGGCUGGUGCGCUGAGAGGUUUCCCCUCAUUGGGAUUACUUUGUUCUCUUUGCUAUUCCUCCCAUUCAAGCAACCCUUUCUCUGCUCUUCCCUAGGUAAGGGGUGUGAGAGCAGAAAGACAAGCAGUCCUGUUUCGGCUGCAGUGACCACUGGGGUGCUCUGCCCAGGUCUCCCCGCUAGCUGCAGUGACAGUUGAUAAUGGCCAUGGCAGAGCCCGCACUGGAUGCCCCCUCCUGCUGCAGGGAAUGGCCUCGUUUCAGGUCAUAUCCCCCAGGUUCUGAAACUGACCGAGGAAGGAAUGCAAAGGCUCGGCCCUCUUGCCUCAACUUGGGACAACUCUGAUGGGCCGUCCCAGCUCGAGAGCGCCACUUAGGAUUGGCUGGGGGUGGCUCCAAGUGUAGCCUCGUUGCAGCCAGCUUCAGCUUCUGCAGCAUCCUGCCUUUCUCACUUCUUUACAGGAGAAUCUCCCAAGAACACCCUCUGAUCAGCACUCUGCAUGCAAUUUCCAUCUCGGACUCUGUUUCUAGGAAGCCUUUCAGGCAGCUGACACUGGACGUGGUUGUGAGUUGCAGACCCUAAUGAAAAAUUGGAGAGGAAGCAGGUGGCCGGCUGAUGAAAUGAUAACCAGAAGGCCUGUGGGCUUGGGUGGCUGAGGCUGGGGCUACUGAGUGUUGAAGAGAGAGAGGCAGAGGCGCAGGAUGACUCAUCACUGGUCUCAGGCAAACUGUGAAAGCCGGAGCACUUCCUUGGUGGCAUUUAAGAAAACCCCGAUGAUCUGCAGCUGGAAGGCAGGUUGGCUGGAGGACCAGU
rnacentral:lncRNA from 1 species